AACGAACGCUGGCGGCAGGCUUAACACAUGCAAGUCGAGCGCCCCGCAAGGGGAGCGGCAGACGGGUGAGUAACGCGUGGGAACGUACCCUUUGCUACGGAAUAGCUCCGGGAAACUGGAAUUAAUACCGUAUGUGCCCUACGGGGGAAAGAUUUAUCGGCAAAGGAUCGGCCCGCGUUGGAUUAGCUAGUUGGUGGGGUAAUGGCCUACCAAGGCGACGAUCCAUAGCUGGUCUGAGAGGAUGAUCAGCCACAUUGGGACUGAGACACGGCCCAAACUCCUACGGGAGGCAGCAGUGGGGAAUAUUGGACAAUGGGCGCAAGCCUGAUCCAGCCAUGCCGCGUGAGUGAUGAAGGCCUUAGGGUUGUAAAAUUCUUUCACCGGGGGCGAUAAUGACGGUACCCGGAGAAGAAGCCCCGGCUAACUUCGUGCCAGCCGCCGCCGUAAUAC
rnacentral:rRNA from 1 species